rfam:Rattus norvegicus chromosome 1, whole genome shotgun sequence.
AGAGGUAAGGUUAAUUUGGUCUUAACAUCUGUCACCCCAUUGAUUAUCAGAGUGUACCUGACUAAUCUUGGUGGCUAAUCCAGAGGUCCCCUCCUCCCUAUCUCCUCUAUACAUGUCUCUUCUGAGCUAUAUACUGGUUAGGACAGGAUGGCUUUCCCUCAUAAGGAAGACAGUUAUUUAGGGAAGAAUAUGUGAAUACCUGCACUCUUCCCAAACAUCCUGAAUUCUCUUGAAAUAAUGACCUGUUUCUAUCUGAAUAGACACUUAGACAUAUGGGGAAGGAUCCCCAAUAAUUUGAGAUCAAUUGGUUCAUUGCUACAUUGUAGUCUCUUGGUUGGC